rnacentral:pre_miRNA from 1 species
GGGGAGGCACCGGAUCUUGGGCUGAGUCCCAGGCGCACUGUGCUUCCAGACCUGAGCUGUUGGAAUCGUGCUCCUGGCCGCCCAGCCCCCU